rnacentral:miRNA from 1 species
UUGAAGGAUUUGUAAGAAAUGUUUGAGGAAAGUGACUUAGUGUUAAACACUGAAUCACUUUCCUCAAACAUUUCUUAUAAAUCCUUCAA